UCAUUUGCUUGUUGCCGUGGCUGGUGGCACUGUCUUCAUACAAAAUUCAUCUUGAUUUCCUCGAGACUGUCGGAUAAGGUCUGAAUAUGCCACUGAGCUAGCUCGUGCCCUUUUUCUUCAUAGUAACCGUAAUGUCCAGUUUCAAGCUGUUCUAUCUGUGAAUAAUAAAGUUAGUGCUUGCCUUUUCAUUUAUAACUACAAAGAAACAAAGGUAAGUCUUGUGCUUAUGUUUAUCUUACCAAAGAACUCCUUUAUGUUUAUCUUCUUCCAUUGAAUUUUAUUUUAGAAAUCAAAACUGGAAAGUACUGCGUAAUGCUAGUGCUUGACAACUUGGUAGAGUAGAGAAAGAGCCACAAAAAAAGAAAUUAUAGAAAUUAGGAAGGGGGAGAAAG
rnacentral:lncRNA from 1 species